rnacentral:tmRNA from 1 species
GGGGCUGAUUCUGGAUUCGACGGGAUUUGCGAAACCCAAGGUGCAUGCCGAGGGGCGGUUGGCCUCGUAAAAAGCCGCAAAAAAUAGUCGCAAACGACGAAAACUACGCUUUAGCAGCUUAAUAACCUGCUUAGAGCCCUCUCUCCCUAGCCUCCGCUCUUAGGACGGGGAUCAAGAGAGGUCAAACCCAAAAGAGAUCGCGUGGAAGCCCUGCCUGGGGUUGAAGCGUUAAAACUUAAUCAGGCUAGUUUGUUAGUGGCGUGUCCGUCCGCAGCUGGCAAGCGAAUGUAAAGACUGACUAAGCAUGUAGUACCGAGGACGUAGGAAUUUCGGACGCGGGUUCAA